CUCUAGCCCUGAUAGAAGUGGAAAUCCUUUUUUGCCGGGGUUCGGCAGAAAAGAUUGCAACGGAUAGCAGGAUUAGCU
rnacentral:sRNA from 1 species